AUUAUUUAAACUGACAGAACGACGAUAUAAACACUUUGAUUGGCGAGAUGGUAAUUCGCUUGUUAAUACUUAUAAAAUUUUUACUAACUUGUUUUUGAUCCAAACAAUUAUUUGAAAAUCAAACAGAGUGACGGUAUGAACACUGCAGACAAUCAACAGGUAACUAAGAACUUUUACUUGUUGUCGACACUUAUAAAUUUUGAUUGUAAGAAUUAUUUGAAAAUUAAACUGACAGAGUGACGGUGUAAACACUUCGAAUAAUAAACUGAAACUAAGGAACUUUUUCUAUGUUACUAGGCUUAUUUAUAACUAAAUCCCCCACGGGGCAAUAGUCACAUGACAGUUGGCUCCUGUGGGUAUCGCAAUGCUGCAGUUUUGGGGUGUCUGCCAGCGUACGUGAGAGAACGUGGAUUUUGGUGAUCGCUGAUGUCUUGAUUUCUCAUAUUCUUUUUUGGUGCUGAUGGGAACAUUCAAAGUACGUGAUAAAAUGUGGAUAUUGUUCUGGUUUCGUCUAUUGCUGAAAUUGCGUCGGCGAUGCUUCUGGAACCUUUCCUACUGAUGCCUGUGGGAACGUUCAAGGCACGUGGCAACGUGUCCUUGUUGAAGAUGCGUCUGGGGCUAAGGAACUUUCCGUGCUGAUCCGAUGGUAGCGUUUAAGCCACGUGUAUUGUUAUCAGGGGUGCCUCUGGAAGCUUCCUUGUAAAUUUUAGUAGAGGUGGUAAUGGGACUUCUAUUGUUCUGUGGAGCUGCUGCACGUGUAGCAUGUGUUAUUUUCGUGUGUCUCCCAUAAGGUAUUUUGUUUAAUAGUUAUGUUGAUUAUGGACAUGGAAGUACCUGUGUUUGUCCAACCUGUACAAGUAUGUAUUAUUUUAUUUAUUUUAACUUCGUCCUCUUUCCUAUGGUGUUUCGUCCGUUUGUCUGCCUGGUCUUGUAUGUAUUGUUUUAGCACAAGAGGAGAAGAGAUUCCAAAAAUGUGUGGAUGGCUCGUGAAGAUGAUACAGAUGAAUGUGCGAAGGCUCACUUCCCUGAGGAGACUUCUGCCGGAGUCCUGGAUGUUCUCCUGUGUUACCGCUCUUCUGGUCGGAGCAAUCUUCUCUGCUGUAUGCUCCCAGUAUAUGGAGAGACUUCGUGAAAUGUGUCUUGAUGUUAUUUUACUCAUUUGGUUAAUAUUUCCAUCUGAUUGUUGUCUCCAGUGUUUGGUUUGAUUUAUUGUUUUCCGGUGUAGGUCUUGGUGAUUAUGAUUUAAAUGAUGAAUGCGGAGGUGUCUUCGUCAAAGGUUCCUUAUGCAGAUUGUCCCAGUGCGUACUUUGUUUUGUUUUAUUAUUUUUAAUUUGUCUUGUGUCAUUCAUCUUUUAUUUACUACAUGUGUUGUUUCGGCGCAAGAGGAAGACGGGUUCCAAAAUGUGUGAGUGGUCCCAGAUGGUGCAGGCAAGAACGAAGAAUCGUGUGACAUUUGUGUUGAUUAUGUUCGAUGCUGAUUUAUAUAUAUAUAUAUGUAUAUAUAUUAUUUUGUUGGUUAAAUUUUUAGUCAGUUUAGUUGAAUAUUCUGUAAUGUAAUAUUUGCAAGGUAGUUUCAUAUAUUUAUUGCAUUGUGUUUAUUUG